AGAAAAAAACUGGGUUAAAACAGGGCUGCUAACUUUGUUUUGGGGGGUUCAAUUCCAUCCUUUUUCUU
rnacentral:tRNA from 1 species